AUUGAACGCUGGCGGCAGGCCUAACACAUGCAAGUCGAGCGGAUGAAGGGGGCUUGCUCCUGGAUUCAGCGGCGGACGGGUGAGCAAUGCCUAGGAAUCUGCCUGGUAGUGGGGGAUAACGUCCGGAAACGGGCGCUAAUACCGCAUACGUCCUGAGGGAGAAAGUGGGGGAUCUUCGGACCUCACGCUAUCAGAUGAGCCUAGGUCGGAUUAGCUAGUUGGUGGGGUAAAGGCCUACCAAGGCGACGAUCCGUAACUGGUCUGAGAGGAUGAUCAGUCACACUGGAACUGAGACACGGUCCAGACUCCUACGGGAGGCAGCAGUGGGGAAUAUUGGACAAUGGGCGAAAGCCUGAUCCAGCCAUGCCGCGUGUGUGAAGAAGGUCUUCGGAUUGUAAAGCACUUUAAGUUGGGAGGAAGGGCAGUAAGUUAAUACCUUGCUGUUUUGACGUUACCAACAGAAUAAGCACCGGCUAACUUCGUG
rnacentral:rRNA from 1 species